UCAAAUACUUGGACAAGACUUUGUUCGAAACUUCGAAUCAUAGUAAUCAUGCAGUUUUCUGUUCAAGAUUUGAAUGAUGCUACUUGCUACUUUGGAGUUGGCAUUAUUUCAUUUGCGAUUAACUAAUUCUCGCAUUGCAACAGAUCGUGAGCCAUUGCCAGAAGAAGAUUUCAUGUUUUCAGUUUUUUUCUUUCGAAGAAGAGCGUAAAUCCUGACACGAAAAUAGGUUUUUAAAAUCUUUGACUUAGCUUGGUGGCAAUCGGGAAUAUUACUGUCAGCCAUGGCAAGGCAUUUGUCAACAAGAGCACUCAGGAUACUAUUCACUUUCAUUACUUGUGCCUCACUAGCCACGAAUAUGCUCUCUGCAAGAAGGAGUAAUUUCUUUACCUCUUGCGAAAUAUAUGUAAGAGAUGAUCCGGUGUUGUCGCGAAGCUGGACAAGACUUUGCAUAGAUAUGAUAUAGUCAUGCAAUUCUGGCUUAGGAGGAUCUGCAAGUAAGGUUUUCAAACAUUCGUGGCAGUGACCAUUUAGUUUGAUGAACUGGUGGACUGCAUACCCUCCAAGAUGGUCCAAGCUUGACAAUUCUGAUGUAGAGAGAUCAAGAAUAAAAUCGCUCGGUUCUACAGAAAACGAUUGACUUUCUUCAUGUUAUGAUGUAGGAAAAGAUUUCUCCAAGAAACAGUGUGUCUCUGAUACUUCAUCUGUCUCAUAUGAGGAAGUAGAUUUUCCAGAGAUGCACUGUGACACUGUGAUGUUUCUUAGUGCAUUUUUGAAUUCCAAUGCACUUGGUAUUGGAUUCUUGAAUCUGAUUGUAGAAAAAAGAUUUUCUAAAGCAUCUUGUGUGAAGCGGCUGGUCAGAAGGAACUUGUAUUGUUUUUCCAAAAUGAAGCAGUUCUGAAGUUCAAGAAUUGUCAAGAAGUUAGAAUUGUUCCUGUUUGCGCAGGCCUCCACUUGGCAUUUGAUUCUGAUCCUAUUUUCAAUUGGGUAAAAAGUUUAAUAAUUGAUUCAAGGAAAGAUACAACUUCUGUAUGUUUUUCAUAUGUGUAGAGACUGAAACCCAUUUUUGGAGAACGUGAUGUCAUCAGGUCGUACCACAGACCAACUUGAUCACAAAACCAUGCUGUAGUUGUGGCAUUCUUGUGCAGGACUUUUUCCUGAAUAAGAAAGCGAAUGGCUGCCCCAGUUUUUCUGGAUAGUAGAUUCUUAGCCAUGCUCACUUUCAUUUUUUCAAAAUGCACAGGAUCACAGCAUUUUUCAUUCAGGUAAAUUGCACUCAGCAAUGGCAUACUGUGGGAUGAAAAAUGUUUGUCCACGAGUCAGAUGAUUCCUGAUAUUCUUCAAAACAUGUGGAACAUCAGGCAUAAAUCUGAGAAUGAAUUUCCAGUGAAGAAGUACGCAACAACUUGUUUCCAUCUUGCUGUCAAACCACAUAACAUGAAAACCAUGGCAUGUGUUGCCAUUGUGUCUUGCAUGUCUUUUUCAUUGCUGCCAGAGAUAGAGCAAUGGCCAAUGACUGACUCAGUUCUUGUGUCAAAAUCAUAUGAUGGAAUGAUUGCCAUUUCGUCAAGCAAAAGAACACAGUCUCUUUCUUGAUCUCCCAUGGAGGAAGCCUUUCAAUGCAAAUUAACCUUCAGUAUACAAUAUUUUGUAUGUUUACCUUCAAUUGCAAUGCUGCAAAAACCUCAUAUGUAAGACCCGAGGAAAAUUCAAUGUGCUCCAUUCGUUGAUUAAGUGUUCUUAUAGAAGUGUGGAAGUGCAAAAUUUCAUUAAUAUACUUCAUAAAUUUAAAAAUGGUAUUGCUUAACCUUUUCCAUAACCAGGCUUCUUGGAAAGCUCUUUCUUCAACAUUUCCAGUUCUUCUCGCAGCUUUGUGUGACUUUGACUAUUUGUGCUACUUUGAGGAUUGUUCAAGUCCAACUCAGUCACAGUCAUUGUAGAGUGUACAGAGUCGAGAUUAUUAUCAUCUUCGCUACUAGCACUCUCAAUGGCAACAGGUUGUGGUGACACUAUGUGAACAAGAAGUUGGACUCUUUCUUCGCAGCACAGGCUUUCGAUGUGUCAACAGAGUUGGUACUGCAUUUGGUCGAAGUUUGCCGGGGAUUUUAGGCUCGAAUUGAUUCGCUUCGAAGUGAACCUUAAGGAGCCGUACCACAAUAUCACAACACACAAAUGCAAAUUUGUUGUAAAUCUUUAUUAAAAAUUUUAAAAUUUA